UUGUAAUUUGGAGAAGGUGUUUCGGAAGAGAUGAUGGUCCAAGUCCCUUGGAACAGGGCGUCGCAGAGGGUGAGAAUCCCGUAUGUGACCAAUCAUCGAUUCCAUGUGAAACCCUUUCGACGAGUCGAGUUGUUUGGGAAUGCAGCUCUAAAUGGGUGGUAAAUUUCAUCUAAAGCUAAAUACCUGCCAGAGACCGAUAGCGCACAAGUAGAGUGAUCGAAAGAUGAAAAGCACUUUGAAAAGAGAGUCAAACAGUACGUGAAAUUGUUGAAAGGGAAGCGCUUGCAAUCAGACUCGUUUGCAGAAGUUCAGCCUUCUUUCGAGAUGGUGUAUUCUUCUGUCAACGGGCCAGCAUCAGUUUCGGCGGUUGGAUAAAGACUUUGAGAACGUAUCUCUCCUCGGAGAGUGUUAUAGCUCGGAGUGUAAUGCAGCAGCUGAGACUGAGGUCCGCGCUUUUGCUAGGAUGCUG
rnacentral:rRNA from 1 species